UUACGGCCACAUCAAUUUGAAAUACUAGUUCCUGUACGAUCACUGAAGUUAAGCAACUUCGAGCCUGGUCAGUACAUACAUGGGUGACCGCUUGGAAAUACCAAGUGCAGUA